ensembl:lncRNA
UUGUGGCAUUGUUAUAUAAAACAUUCAUUUGAAAGAGCAUUGCACAACCUGUUUAAAGUUCACUCGUCGUCUCAACCUCCUUCAUAGAAGCUGUGGCUUAGACAGAAGGUAUAUGUAGAGGGAGAUACUGGACCAGUUUGACUAUGGCUAACUCCAGCAAAUCAGCCAAAUGGGGGACUUCCUGAUAUCACAAUCUAAUACAGUCAUUGUGAUUCACUACUCGGAAAUGCAGGAGAGCACGGUUGAGAAUAUAGACUACAGUAGAACAGAAAGGUUCUGCUAAGGUUAAUGAGUAAAAGAAAACUUUGGAUUUCUUAAUGUGUUUCACUUUAAAUCAUAACCACAAAAAAUUAAGUAUAGGCUUUUUCCAUUGCUUUUCCUAUAGGCAUUGGGGAAUUUCAACCAGAGUACUUCCUGGAUACGCCAGGGACAAGUUUUUGCUGGAGUAUCUAUUCUACACUGCACAGUACAUGGCAAGCACUUAGGAUGAAUGGCCUUUUGAAUCUACUGCAUGUGCAAGCUGGGUUAGAGUAUUGCAAAGGCUCCUUCCCUCUGUGCAGAGCCCAAACGCAGAAAUGCAU